GUCAUUCGCUCUCUCAAAAAGUCACAUAAAAAAAAAAAAAAUAAUAAUUGACCGCGUAGUUUUUGAGUAAUGGCCAUAGCAACACCAUAGCAACGAGGGACGCGCCGUCCUGCCGACCCCUACCUCGUGACGUAACUUCCAGGAAGCCUCGCCACCACUCUGAACACGGAAAUAUAGCACCACGCUAUCCUCGCCAUAUAUUGCAAACAUUUUCUGGGUUUUACUCGCGGGAUUCGUCAUGCCAUCUCGAUGUGUAGCGAUAUGAAUUACUCACAGGAAGACUCGAGACUCUAGGAGUGGUCCAAAAAAAAACUUCUGCAAAGCCACGACAGCUUUGAAAACCUACAACAAUGCAACCUUGGUUUUCCAAAGACGAAGCCAAACAUAAAAAAUUAAGUGGCGGAAACCCUCAACACGAUGAAAAAAGCGUUGCAAGUCAGUUGCCACCCAGUUUCCCAAAAUCAAGAGAGAGUGGGUCGAGUCAUAUGAUGACCGAAGUGAUGCGGUGUCCAGCGAUGACGACUGAAGAGAUCCUAUGAGGCCUGCCAGAUGCUGAAUUUCUUCCGUCUGCGACAUCAGAUGACGAUGAUUUAGGAAAAAUAAAUGUAGCAAAUUUUGAUGAUAUGAAAUCAUAAACUAGUCAUAUAUACAGUACACAUUUUUUAAAAGAAAAAUCAAGUUACCUUCAUAUUUUAAUGAUAAUGCAUUAUCUUUGUAUAGAGAACACUUCAUGCUACAGAAAAGAGUAAAUACAUAUUUCCCACUGCCAUUAUCAUUUUUCAAUGUUGCGCUAGUCCGUUGCUAUCCUAACUUUGUGUUGCUUACUAAAAUUAUGCUCUUUGAUGUGUGCCGUUGUGUGCUUGGUAUAACAUGUUGUGUCACAAUCUGACAACGAAAGCUAAUGCUGAUUCAACAUAAACCUGGUAUCAUUUAUUAUUGCGGCCUAUUGAAUAUUUUUUUCAGAAUGUAAUAUAAUUACAAUAUAUUAUAUACCAAUAGAAUACAUUAAACAGUCAACAAAAUGUGUCAAUGUUGUUAACAAUUUAUGGUUUUAUUUUUUUAAUGAAAUUCAUGCCCCUGUCAGUGCUUCAGCCUCCGCAAGUUUGGCUCUCACGUCUGGGAUCUCCUGAUGACACAGGCAUACUCUUGGAAGGGUAAUUACUUGACGGUUUACAGCAACACCUGGAAAAUAAAAUGGUUUUGUCAUUUAUUUUGAAAUAUCAAUAACAUAUCAUUCAUUUAGCCACAUUUGGGCUAGCUUUAUCAUAUUUAGAUCGGUAGGAGCUGUCCCAUUACCUAAAAUCCAGUUUUAGCUAUGUGUAGAGCAUUCAUUUAGCCACAUUUGGGCUAGCUUUAUCAUAUUUAGAUCGGUAGGAGCUGUCCCAUUACCUAAUAUCCAGUUUUAGCUACGUGUAGAGCAUUCAUUUAGCCACAUUUGGGCUAGCUUUAUCAUAUUUAGAUCGGUAGGAGCUGUCCCAUUACCUAAUAUCCAGUUUUAGCUAUGUGUAGAGCAUGGAAAAAUAUACAACCAUGUAAUCGCAUUCUAAUAAAAAAAUCACGAUGCUGGAUUUACCACUCACUCUCCCGUUCGUGAAGUGUCGAGCUGUCAAUUGGCGUCAUGACGCCAUCUGCUGUGUCAAGUAAAUCGCCGUCAUCUGACGCCUCAGGUUCAAACAUGUAGGGAUUAAUUGUAGUUCAU